AGAACCUGCGGGCGAGGUGGGUGGCUCGCCAGCCGGGACGAAGGGAAAUGAGGACCACCGCUCCGGGGCGCGAGUAGGCGCGUGGAGUCCGGGGGCUCAGCCGCCGCGCCUCUUCCUCCUGCAGCUGGAGACUGCAACAGCGGCGGGUGCACCGGCAGCAGCGACGACCCUGCGCGCAGGUGGCAGUGUAGAAGCCAGACCGGGAGCUUCCAGAAGUGGUUUCUGAAAGAGUCAAAUGUACAUGAGUAAGCAAGCACAGGAAUCUGAAAAACCACAGGAAUGAAAUGCAGAUAACUCUUUAGAAAACUUUUGUAGGAAAAGCGCCUCGUGUGAUCUGGAACAAAGACGUUUUAUAAUCAGAUUUAUCAAGCUGCGAAGAGGGAGUUUUAGUGAACGGAAGCAGCAGCAUUCUGUCACCAGGAAAUACUCCUUUAUCCAGAAUUGGUAAGUGAAAAGUGGCAUUGCUCCCUAAUAGAUAUCAUAUGCGUGUGUGGGAAUUGAAAAAUUGUUCACAGACCCCUAACAACUGUGUUGAACAGAGAACACAUAAACAGUGAGGAGUUCUAAAAAAGAGCAGCACGAGAAUACCGCAUAAAGACUGAGAAGAAGCCAGGUAAUUAACAAAAAUGAGCUGAGUGCUAUCAGUUUAGCUAAACAUAUGUAAUACAGCUAGAUUUGGUUGUUUUAUUUUUUCUUGUUAGUGGAGGAGAAACAUAAAAUCAGAAUGGGCUGUUUAGUAGAAUUGCGACAUUAACUUUCCAUGGAUGUAGAUUUCCAUUUAGUCUGAAUAGCAUGUAUGAAAUUUGAAGGGAUGCUUUCAGAAUUAGUCUACUUGCCCUCCUUUCCUUUCCUCUGCAUUAAGAUGUCAAGUAUUUAGUUAGAACCUUACAAGAUGAAAGUUGUACAAAAUGAAAGUUCAAGUAAUGCGUCGGAAACACCUCUCCUGAUUGGGAAGGGUAGAUUACAAUGGCAAUAGAUUUUUGUUUUUUGUUUCUUACAUUUGUGUCACGAAUUUUAAGUUUGUUCUAUUGGAUUACAUUAGUACAGCAAAAGGGGGGUUAUUUCUAUCUAUAUGGUUCAUGACAUUUUGAGAGGUCGUGAUUAGUAGUUCUUACUGGUUUCGUAUGCGUGUUCCUGCCUGUUGAAUUCAGUUUUCUAAUCUUGAAUCUGAGCUGCCUUUAUGUUAAAGGGUUCUAGAAAAAGACAAUAAAGCUUUGAAUACCCGUGUUAUAUACAACAGGUUCCUGUUCAUGAUGUAUAAGGUAACGCAAUUUUAUUUUAGGCAUGAAUGUCUAAUUUCUUGAUUUGGCUUCUUAAGAAUAUACUGAAAAGGUUGAAUAGAAUAAGAAAAAGAACAUUAGAAAAGAAUGGUGGGUGACUGCCUGAUUUUACUAGUUUCUUAUUGGUCAAUAGAAGUAAUCAUGUGAUGUCUACUUAUAGAAGCAAAUGGAAAAAAUUUUUCUUCUUUAACUGCUAACAAGUAUAUAGGCAAUUUUAGCAAUCUUCAUUUAUUAAUUUGAAUAUAUAAUUAUAACUGUUAUUAACAGAAUAAGUUUUGGGUAAUAUAGGAAAUAAUAAUUAUUUCUUUCUUUUUAAGCCAAAUUGGAAGUUGAAUCUACUUUUGGUUCCUGUUCUGUUACUUUCAAAAUCUUAAAAUCCUUAACUCAAAAGGGAAAAUGUAUAAUAAAACAGGAUAGCAGUGCUGAAAUUUCUCUCUCUUAGCAGUGGAGUGGGAUGAGGGUGGGGGAGGGAGAUGAAUCUAGUGAGAUAUAUUAAUUGUUUUUUCCCCCUCUUGUAUACUUGGAUAACUUUUGAGAUCAGUUUUCUCAGACUAGCAGCUCUCAAGACUUUUGCAUAAGUAUUUAUUCUUAAAGAAAUAGAAAGACAAGAUAAGCACGGCUCUUAAGGGCAGGUCCUCCAAUAAGUCAGGAAACGGGUGAUCCAAACUUGUGAACAUGACAAGUCAAUUUGACUUAAUUAAGGAAUGGCAUUAGUUUUCUUGAAGCACAUGAAUUUAUAGGUUUUUAGAGUCUUGAAGACAGAAAAAUGGCAACAAAGCAUUAAGGUAUUUACAGAUAAUUUAUAUUCAACUGCUAGCUUAUGUUUUCAACUCUGUAUUUCAUGUAAGUAAAUACUUGGGGAGAACAUGAUGAUUUAAUAAUCUGGAUAAAUACUGCCGUGCCUGUUGGAAAAAAGCCUCUAAUUUUUAGGUUUUCCUCAUCCAUUUAAAAUCCAUUGUUUUGAAUGACAAAAUGUGAUAGAAACAGGUUGGAACAGUAAAUGCUAGAAAGUAUAUCCCAGAAGAAUUAACUGAGAACUUCAUGUUUUCAAUUCUAUUUGCCGUUCUCUGUUCUCAAUUUGUUAAUUUUUAAAAGUACAUCGAAAGUGAGUAGCAUUGCUUGCUCUGAAUUCUCCUCUGGGGUCAUUGAGAGUAUUCACAUUUUCGUAUACCCUGUUAAAAGAUAUUAAUGCCAUGCAUAUGCCUUUGUCUUUGUGGGUGUGUAAAACAACAAACUGAAGGGAUCUGGUCAAGAGACAGACCUCAAAAUAAUUUCUCUGAAAUAGUGUUUGAAUUUGCAUGUUCGGGAACGUAAAUGCUUUCCCUUUGGGCUUGUUUCUUAAGUUUUUGGUGUAGUAUACAGUUUUACCCAAUUAAAUUUUUCUUUUGAGGUCUGUAUAUGUAUGGGUGUCUAUAUUUGAUUUGAAGGGGGAGUUUUAAUCAUUAGUGAAACAAGUGGCUGUUUGUUAGAACCCAGAUAAGCCUCAUAGUGUUGUUCCUAUGACAACUGAGUAGUUGGGUGUUGAAAUGUAGCUUUAAGUUCUUGGUUUGGAAAUGUCAUUCAGACCUCCCACUAUAGUCUCAUUGAGUAGGAGGAUAAUGAGAAGGGGAAAAACCAUGAAGCAACAUAAGUAUCUCCGUUCGUUUCAUGUCUUCCUGACUUGUCUUUGUGUACAGGAUCGCCAUGGGAGUGGUAAACAUAGGUCUUGAACAAAGCAAUACUUCAAUUAAAAAAAUACAUGGAAAGGGUCAGAAAAGUUGGGGAAGAUAAAUAACAACACAUGGGGGCAAUAAAGAGGCAAGAGAAAUAGGCUUCCAUGGGUUUCUGCAAAUCCUUUAUCCAGUGCUGACCAGCAGUGAGAACAUCUUGAACCAGUUAUUGUAUAGCUCUUCAAGAGCUGUGAAUUUCCUUAAAAUGCAAUGUGGAGAAAAUUCCUUUGGUAGCAGGAUGGUUUACCACUUUGGCAUAACGUUUAUUCAUCUCCCCCAGGCAGACUACAGAGGAUACUGUGUUCUUUUAAGGCACAUGUUUUUAAACCAGUUGUUCAUUUGUCAUUUAAUAGCUUUUGUCUUUUUUCUAUGGGAAAGACAAGGUUGUACUAUUAAAAUAGUGAUAAAAUUUAAGUAUUUUAUUCUAUAUUCAAAAAGUGCUUUUGAAAAGUACUUAGAAAAAGAUUGUUUGAGACCUGUUGUUUGUGGAAAUGUCUGUCAAUGGAGAAUCUAUGGAGCACUGUAUUUGAGGAGAGGGAUUGUUCAGACUAAUAUUUGGCAUAGCUUAAUUAUGCAGUUGUUGAUUUUCCAUGUCUGAAGGUCUUCCUAUUUCCUACUCCUAAAUAGUUUUAACUAUUUAUUUGGUUGCUAGAACCUCCUGAAGUUAGAAAGAAAAAGAUUUCAGUGGGGUUAGUCUCUUAAUAAAUAUAUGCCCACCAUCUCUUCUGUAAUCCAAAAAGCUCUGAAAAUCAAAAGAUUUUCAUGUAACAAAUUUGGCAGCAAAUCCUGACCUGAACUGAUGUGAAGCUAAUGAUAGUCUUUGUUUAGCUCGCUCAGAAUGAAUCUUUGUAUGUUUUACUGUAGAAGUAUUAAUGUGUUUGAUCACGGAGUAUUGUUCCAGACUCCCCUAGAGGUUUAUAUACUAUAUUGAAUAGUCAACCUAUUACCUUUAUAAAAUAAUAAUAAUAAUCAAUCUGAGUGUCAGGUAAGCAUUUGUGGACCCAUAAUUACUGACAUACAUUGAGUUCAUAUUAUAUGCCGGGUACCAUUCUAAAUGAAUCACUGGCAUCUAAGAACAGUGUCUGGCACAUAGUAGGUACUUAGUAGACACGUUUUGGUAGGAACUGCUUUACACUUAUUAAAUUCUUUAACUCACAAAAACAGUAUACAGGAAGUAGCGGAGCCAAGAUUUGAAAGCAGACAGUCUAGCUCCAAUCUGCUCUUAAUGAUUCUGAUGCAGGUACAAGAGAGGACUGGAGAUGUGGCACUGGACUUCUUAACUGAGUCAGAGGGGGUGUUUGAGUGAUUUACUUUAUUCAUAGUCACCCUAUACCUCCUACGAUCAAGAGCUGGUGGUAUCACCACUAUGGUCAUUAGCCGGGGCUGUGGUUGAAUGCUUAUAACAGGUUCUCCUGGGUGGGAGUGUAGGAAUUCCAGGGGUCUGAACUCUCCUCACAGGCUUCCCAAGGUGAUCUCCAUCAGUAAAUCAGCCCGACUUUUUCAUCUUGAAAAAUUAAGACAUAGGAAAUAACUCUUUCCUUAACCCUAAGGAAGUUUCCUUGAACAGUGGGAAAAACGUUUUUGUAGACAUUCCUUAGACCCCUUACCCAGCAGGAGGUGUGGAAUCAAUAAAGAGGGCAUGGGUCACCUCCAAGGUUGUGAGCUCCCUGGCUUGGGAACUACACUGGGACACAGCAGAGCCUCUUGGCAGAAAUCAGGCAGCCCAUGGAGCUUCAGCUGCAUGACUCUUUGAAUUCACAAAAGGAUACCUUUAACAGUACUUCUCAAAAAAUGUAUAUAAGGCAUGUCUCAAGUCCCUAUAUGUUUCUAGGGAUAAAAAAAUUCAUUUCAAACUGAUGGCAACCUCCCCAUUCUAUUCCCCAGCUUUCUAUCCUUCUUCCUGCUUAAUUUUUCUUCUUAGCACUUGCCUCUGUCUGACAUAUUGUAUGUCUUACUUAUUUAUUCAUUUGACAUUUUAAUUAGACACUAGCAGUAUUGUUUUCUUUGAAUACAUUUAAAGGUCCUAGAUUUAUUUCUUUUUGAUGCUCAUCUUCUAACUCAUUCCCUCCUAUCAAUCUCAGACUGCUGUAAAUAAAUGAUUUUUUGCCUUUUUUUUUUUUUUUUACUAUUAGUUAUCAUAUUUAUUUUUCUUAAACAAGCUGUACUGGUUAUACAGUCUGAAUUUGGAGAAUAGACGUCUUCAUUCAGGAGGGGAAAUUGAGCCAAGUUUGAAUAUAAUCAUUGGGUAACAAAUCCAGAAGAUUAAGUUACUAAGGAGAACAUGCAAAGUAAACACUUGCAUUUUAUGAACUACCUUCAAUUUAAAUAGACAACUGGGUAACUGUAUAUGACAUGUUUUGGGAGUAAGACCUGUUAAACCUACCUACUUCCUACUGUUUUCAUUUGAAAAAUAAAUCAAUUAUUAAACAGUUAUUCUACACAUUAAAGACUGUAAGUGAUUUAACCUUGAAUAUUUCCUGACUCAAGUUCUUAAAAUCCUCAACUCUAACCUCUUGUUUUUCAACCCCAUAUUUAUUCUAGUUUAUUCUUUCCAACAUAUUUAGGGCAAUCUAAAACAUAAAGUAAAAAAACCCCCACAUAUAUUAUUAACUAUAAACAAUGUGGUUAUGUAAAUGCAUCAUUUUAGUUGAUCUUUUUUCUUUAGCCUAGUUCUUUUUUUCUUUUCUUUUCUCUCUCUUUUUUUUUUUUUUUUUUUU
rnacentral:lncRNA from 1 species